rnacentral:rRNA from 1 species
UACGGGGGGGCAAGGCGUUGUUCGGAAUUACUGGGCGUAAAGGGCGUCGUAGGCGGCCAACUAAGUCAUACGUGAAAUCCCUCGGCUUAACCGGGGAACUGCGUCUGAUACUGGAUGGCUUGAGUUCGGGAGAGGGAUGCGGAAUUCCAGGUGUAGCGGUGAAAUGCGUAGAUAUCUGGAGGAACACCGGUGGCGAAGGCGGCAUCCU